GACGAACGCUGGCGGCGUGCUUAACACAUGCAAGUCGAACGGAAAGGCCCUGCUUUUGUGGGGUGCUCGAGUGGCGAACGGGUGAGUAACACGUGAGUAACCUGCCCUUGACUUUGGGAUAACUUCAGGAAACUGGGGCUAAUACCGGAUUGGAGCUCCUGCUGCAUGGUGGGGGUUGGAACGUUUCGGCGGUUGGGGAUGGACUCGCGGCUUAUCAGCUUGUUGGUGGGGUAGUGGCUUACCAAGGGUUUGACGGGUAGCCGGCCUGGGAGGGUGACCGGGCACAUUGGGACUGAGAUACGGCCCAGACUCCUACGGUAGGCAGUAGUGGGGAAUAUUGCACAAUGGGCGGGAGCCUGAUGCAGCAACGCCGCGUGCGGGAUGACGGCCUUCGGGUUGUAAACCGCUUUCACCUGUGACGAAGCGUGAGUGACGGUAAUGGGUAAAGAAGCACCGGCUAACUACGUG
rnacentral:rRNA from 1 species